CCCCGUCCUCACACAGGACCAAACAAGUCUGCGAUUGUUAGGCAUUGGAUUUCAUUCUUGGAAAGGCAGUGAAAAAAAAAACUCGGGGGGAAAAAGGCCUGUACUAACAUCUUGUCCUCCGAGCUGCUGGAAUAAAGCCGUCCUACCAGGAAAUCAUCCUGCAGUGGGAUCCAGCAGUGAAGUUUACAGCACACAUGUAUGAGCUCUAGUAUCGUUUGAAACUAAGUUUAGUCUUAUAAUAAAAAUAAAAAAUGAGUACACUUGUGUUUUGUAUCUUAUUUCUAAUACUAAGACAAACCAAAAUCAGACUAGUUCAUGAUGUACACCCGUCCCCCAGAGUGGGG